rnacentral:rRNA from 1 species
CUCAGUAACGGCGAGUGACGGCCAGCUCAAAUUUGAAAUCUGACCCCUUCGGGGCCCGAGUUGUAAUUUGUAGAGGGUGCUUCGGGCUUGGCCUAGGUCUAAGUUCCUUGGAACAGGGCGUCAUAGAGGGUGAGAAUCCCGUAUGUGACCGGCGAUCCAGCCCAUGUGAAGCCCUUUCGCGAGCGAGUUGUUUGGGAAUGCAGCUCAAAAUGGGUGGUAAAUUUCAUCUAAAGCUAAAUACCGGCCAGAGACCGAUAGCGAACAAGUAGAGUGAUCGAAAGAUGAAAAGCACUUUGAAAAGAGAGUUAAAAAGUACGUGAAAUUGUUGAAAGGGAAGCGCUUGCAAUCAGACCUGCCCGUGGGUGAUCUGUCGGGGCUCGUUCCCGGGAAUCCUCGCCCAUGAUCAGGCCAGCAUCGGUUUGGGCGGUGAGAUAAAAGCUUCUGGAAUGUAGCUUCUUUCGGGGAGUCUUAUAGCCUAAAGUGUAAUGUUGCCAGCCUGGACCGAGGACCGCGCUUCGGCUAGGAUGCUGGCGUAAUGAUUCUAAGCGACCCGUCUUGAAACACGGACCAAGGAGUCUAACAUCUAUGCGAGUGUUUGGGUGUUAAACCCGGGCGCGGAAUGAAAGUGAACGGAGGUGGGAGCCCGUCAAACGGCGCACCAUCGACCGAUCCAGAUGUUUUCGGAUGGAUUUGAGUACGAGCAUAGCUGUUGGGACCCGAAAGAUGGUGAACUUUGCUUGAAUAGGGUGAAGCCAGAGGAAACUCUGGUGGAGGCUCGCAGCGGUUCUGACGUGCAAAUCGAUCGUCGAAUUUGAGCAAAGGGGCGAAAGGUCAGUUGGAUUCUGUUUUCAGUUAAAAGCUUUUGUUAAAGCUUAGGCAUGUUUGGUUAAAAGCUAACCUUUGUUGCAGACUAAUCGAACCAUCUAGUAGCUGGUUCCUGUCGAAGUUUCCCUCAGGAUAGCAGUAACGUUUUCAGUUUUAUGAGGUAAAGCGAAUGAUUAGAGGCCUUGGGGUUGAAACAACCUUAACCUAUUCUCAAACUUUAAAUAUGUAAGAAGUCCUUGUUACUUAGUUGAACGUGGACAUUUGAAUGCACCGUUACUAGUGGGCCAUUUUUGGUAAGCAGAACUGGCGAUGCGGGAUGAACCGAACGCGAGGUUAAGGUGCCGGAAUGCACGCUCAUCAGACACCACAAAAAGUGUCAAUUCAUCCAGACAGCCGGACGGUGGCCAUGGAAGUCGGAAACCGCUAAGGAGUGUGUAACAACU